UGCAAUGCUAAGUGCCAACCAAAGUGAGUC
rnacentral:piRNA from 1 species